rnacentral:rRNA from 1 species
UACAGAGGUCCCAAGCGUUGUUCGGAUUCACUGGGCGUAAAGGGCGCGUAGGCGGAUACUUAAGUCGGGGGUGAAAGCCCGGGGCUCAACCUCGGAAUUGCCUUCGAUACUGGGUAUCUUGAGUUCGGGAGAGGUGAGUGGAAUGCCGAGUGUAGAGGUGAAAUUCGUAGAUAUUCGGCGGAACACCAGUGGCGAAGGCGACUCACUGGCCCGAUACUGACGCUGAUGCGCGAAAGCGUGGGGAGCAAACAGG